rnacentral:rRNA from 1 species
AUACAUAGGUUAACGAGGCGAACCGGGGGAACUGAAACAUCUAAGUACCCCGAGGAAAAGAAAUCAACCGAGAUUCCCCCAGUAGCGGCGAGCGAACGGGGAGCAGCCCGGAGUCUGAAUCAGCUUGUGUGUUAGUGGAACGGUCUGGAAAGUCCGACGGUACAGGGUGAUAGUCCCGUACACGAAAGCACACAUGCUGUGAACUCGAAGAGUAGGGCGGGACACGUGGUAUCCUGUCUGAAUAUGGGGGGACCAUCCUCCAAGGCUAAAUACUCCUGACUGACCGAUAGUGAACCAGUACCGUGAGGGAAAGGCGAAAAGAACCCCGGCGAGGGGAGUGAAAAAGAACCUGAAACCGUGUACGUACAAGCAGUGGGAGCCUCUUUAUG